UACGAAGGGUGCAAGCGUUACUCGGAAUUACUGGGCUUAAAGCGUGCGUAGGCGGUUCGUUAAGUCCGUUGUGAAAGCCCUGGGCUCAACCUGGGAAUGGCAGUGGAUACUGGCGAGCUAGAGUGUGAUAGAGGAUGGUGGAAUUCCCGGUGUAGCGGUGAAAUGCGUAGAGAUCGGGAGGAACACCAGUGGCGAAGGCGGCCAUCUGGAUCAACACUGACGCUGAGGCACGAAAGCGUGGGGAGCAAACAGG
rnacentral:rRNA from 1 species